AUUGAACGCUGGCGGCAGGCCUAACACAUGCAAGUCGAACGGUAACAGGAAGAAGCUUGCUUCUUUGCUGACGAGUGGCGGACGGGUGAGUAAUGUCUGGGAAACUGCCUGAUGGAGGGGGAUAACUACUGGAAACGGUAGCUAAUACCGCAUAACGUCGCAAGACCAAAGAGGGGGACCUUCGGGCCUCUUGCCAUCGGAUGUGCCCAGAUGGGAUUAGCUAGUAGGUGGGGUAACGGCUCACCUAGGCGACGAUCCCUAGCUGGUCUGAGAGGAUGACCAGCCACACUGGAACUGAGACACGAUCCAGACUCCUACGGGAGGCAGCAGUGGGGAAUAUUGCACAAUGGGCGCAAGCCUGAUGCAGCCAUGCCGCGUGUAUGAAGAAGGCCUUCGGGUUGUAAAGUACUUUCAGCGGGGAGGAAGGGAGUAAAGUUAAUACCUUUGCUCAUUGACGUUACCCGCAGAAGAAGCACCGGCUAACUCCGUG
rnacentral:rRNA from 1 species